rnacentral:rRNA from 1 species
UACGUAGGGGGCAAGCGUUGUCCGGAAUCAUUGGGCGUAAAGAGCGUGUAGGCGGCCCGAUAAGUCCGCUGUGAAAGUCCAGGGCUCAACCCUGGAAUGCCGGUGGAUACUGUCGGGCUCGAAUCCAGAAGAGGUGAGUGGAAUUCCUGGUGUAGCGGUGAAAUGACGCAGAUAUCAGGAGGAACACCUGCGGCGAAGGCGGGUGCUGGGCCGACACUGACGCUGAGGCGCGAAAGCCAGGGAGGCAAACAGG